UCGUCCUCAUCGUCGUCGUCGUCGACGUCGUCGUCGUCGUCGUCGUCGUCGUCGUCGUUGUCGUCGUCGUAGUAGUCGUCGUUGUUCUGUCGCGCCACAGCGAUAGCCUACGUCAGAAUAUAGCGGACAACAAUAAGAAUCUUUAAAAUGCAAGUCUUAACGCAAAGCCCGGUACAACGUGUCUCUUCCCUUAAGCACGAACGUUGUCGGAACGUGCUCGAGCUGAAAAUAUGUACAUAAGAAAAUAUCUUUUCUUCGAAUGACGCGUUGGAACGCGUCUACGUUUAAGUCUCAUCAAUGCGUAGGACAAAUCGUUAGUUUCGAAUAAUCAUUUAUAUGAUUGCUCCGCACACGAGGAAAGUAUGGGAGUGCCCCUCGAAAAUUAUUCCGUGGAGUGUAUCUUGGCAUCCGAUGAUUGUGCGCCAGAGGCUAGAGUGGUCUCUCGGAGUGCACGUGCGCGUUGCACGUGUUAGCUGUGGGGCGACCCUCCCGAUUCCUGACUGCCUACAGACUGUAACAUCGUAUCAGGGCCACGUCGUGGCUAUAACUAUAUAUACAGCCACUCUGCUUCAUCACGAAUUUUCUCUCUCUAUUUUUCUCUCUUUCUCUCCUCUCUCUCUCUCCCUUUCUCUCUCUCUCUUUCUCUCUCUCUCUAUCUCUUUCUGUCUGUCUAUCUCUCUUUCUCUCUCUCUCUCUCUCUCUCUCUCUCUCUCUCUCUCUCUCUCUCUCUCUCGCUCUAUUCAUUGCGAGGGAAUAACACGACGUUAAUUGUAAACGUGCAGGGCUUCUCAAUUGCUAUCAUCCUCAUUUUCAUCGUUCACGCGAGAAAUUUCUUCUUUAUCAUCGUGUUGGCCCCGAGGCGAUAACUUGAUAAAAAGGAAUGAGAAUGAAACGAAAACCUGGGAGACAAGAAUCAGUGCCCAAACUAACGCGAAGAUUCGCUAUUUGCGCAGCUGUUCAAACGGGCCGCGCCGCGAAAAUACUACCUCGUCAUCCGUUUUUAAAAUAUCCAAGUCCUCGAGCGUGCCACGGCAGACGCUCGAACGUACGCGUUAGGUUAGAGGUACAUACGAUACGAAUCGUCAUUAACGCAACUAGAUACGCAUCUUGACCCCUUUCCGAGAUACUUGUGCUUCAUCUAGGACUCAACUCACAAUCUAGAACAAAUUAUGUUAGAGGCGAGCUUGGAAAUAGAAAUUUCUUUAUUCUUUACGUGCCCUAGUACUUUUGUUUCACUAUUUGCCGUAAAGUAAAAAAGAAUCUGCUUUUUUUUAUUUUUUUAUUUUUUUUUAUCGUAUUCGAAAUUAGACAUGCAACGUAUCCUGUUUAUUCGAAUAAUAAAAGAUAAUGUAAAAUCUUGGAUAUUGUUCUUGUCUAUGCUGCUGUUCCAAGAU